UGGCGGGUAAAAUUUUCACUCCUUCCCUUUUGUUUUUCAUUUCCCCCCAUUUAUUUACUUUUUUGGUUUUUAUUUUUUCUCUUUUAACAAUUAACAAUACCCAGCAACCAAACUUCAGCCAAAUUAACAAUACCCAACUCCCAUUGCUCCCAAAAUUCGACCAUCGAUUCCAGCUCAAAAUUUCAUGCUUAUGUGAAGAAAUUUUUGCUCCAUUGAUGUGAUUUAGGGACGUUCUCCUACCAUCGUAUGUUUGAUGUUUUGCUACCAUGGUCUUAUGUAUAAUAGUUGUGGAUUACUGGAUUGCCGAACUAGGAUUGACUUUUGAGUAAAUUGUCCUUUAUAUUGGUUAAAGCUGUCAGUACCAGUGGCCGGUGAUGAUUCCCGAGGUAAAUCGACAAUUACUAUUGAGCACUUGAUGGGAGAAGUCAAACCUUUAGAUAAGAAAGAAGGGGACAGUAUUUCUGGAGGUGCACGAAACCUGGACGGGGUUUCCAGAAAAGUACACAUGUUGGUACAUGCAUGGGGAAAAGCAUGUUCAAUCCAUUGCAGAAUCAAUAUCCCAGUAAUCCCUGCAGGAAAACUGUCACAUUCUAGAAGAAUAGCAAAAAUGCAACAAUGGAGCAAAAACUGGGAAGACCGGUUUGCCCAAGUGAGGUUGUUUUGUCAACUUUGCUUAAAAAGGAUGACAAUUAUGUGAACGAAGAAGGAAAGAUUUUAGCUGUUUAAAGUAGACUGGAGUUGGCAAUAGCAUGGUCUUUUCUAUUAUAUAGAAGUGUGAAGGGGUGGACGACCAAGGGCAAUAUUAGUAUUUCAUCCUAACCCAUGCUUGAUUAAAUAAAAAGACAUGUGUCAGCCAUCUUCUUCCAUCUUUUAAUUUCUGUCAGUCGUCUUAAAUGCUGGCUUAUGUCCUGCCAUAGUACUAAUAUCUAACAUUCAAUAGAAGGUUUCAUUUCCACUCGCCAUUAAAUUGUGGCUAAAUUUGUUGUCUAUUGCAUUAUUAGGGGUAAUUUUACACCCCUCUCAAGUAUAUCCCAAAUAAAAAAAGUGCUUUAGUAGUA